AACGCACAUUGCGCCCCUUGGUAUUCCAUGGGGCAUGCCUGUUCGAGCGUCAUUUUGUACCCUCAAGCACUGCUUGGUGUUGGGCGUUUGUCCUGCAAAGGACUCGCCUGAAAGCGAUUGGCGGCCAACGUACUGGUGGUAGAGCGCAGCACAAUUUGCGUCUCUCCCUUCUACGUUAGCGUCCAUGAAGCCUUUUUCAAACGUUUGACCUCGGAUCAGGUAGGGAUACCCGCUGAACUUAA
rnacentral:misc_RNA from 1 species